CGCUGUCAAAAAGAGCUGACGCAAAUCCUUCAUUUUCCACACUUCAACAGCUGAAAAACACCCACUUUUAGCUCUUGGUUUGUUCUAAUGGGUGGAUUGUGUGCAAUCGCUGUAAUAUUUUAUUUUUAAAAGGUCUUAAACAAGAAUAAAUUCGUUUCUUGCGAGCUCGUUGUGUCACUGCACGAGAAGCCGCGCCGUCUCGCGCUGUCAAAAGAGCUGAUGCAAAUCGUUCAUUUUCAAACUUCAAGAGCUCAAAAACACCCUCUUUUAGCUCUUGGUUUGUUCUAAUGGGUGGAUUGUGUGCAAUCGCUGUAAUAUUUUAUUUUUAAAAGGUCUUAAACAAGAAUAAAUUCGUUUGUUGUGAG
ensembl:lncRNA